rnacentral:tRNA from 1 species
AGCGCAGUGGAGCAGUGGUAGCUCGCUGGUUUACAUAUAUCCAGAGGUCACCGGUUCGAGUCCGGUCUGCGCAA